rnacentral:rRNA from 1 species
AUUGAACGCUGGCGGCAGGCUUAACACAUUCAAGUCGAGCGAGCGGCGGACGGGUGAGUAAUGUCUGGGAAACUGCCUGAUGGAGGGGGAUAACUACUGGAAACGGUAGCUAAUACCGCAUACCAUCAGAUGUGCCCAGAUGGGAUUAGCUAGUAGGUGGGGUAAUGGCUCACCUAGGCGACGAUCCCGAGCUGGUCUUAGAGGAUGACCAGCCACAAUGGAACGUAGACAAGGUCCAGACUCCUACGGGAGGCAGCAGUGGGGAAUAUUGCACAAUGGGCGAAAGCCUGAUACAGCCAUGCCGCGUGUGUGAAGAAGGCCUUCGGGUGGUAAAGCACUUUCAGCGAGGAGGCGUUACUCGCAGAAUAAGCACCGGCUAACUCCGUGCCAGCAGCCGCGGUAAUAC